rnacentral:rRNA from 1 species
AAGGCUCAGUACAACAGCUAUUAUUUAUUUGAUCAUAAACAUAGUUACUUGGAUAACUGUGGUAAUUCCAGAGCUAAUACAUGCAAACAACAUGGAUCCCUGUAGCAAUACGGGUGAAACGUGUGCUUUUAUUAGAUUAAAACCAUGUCCAUCGCAAGAUGGAUCUGUAUUAGAUGAAUCUGGAUAAUUAUGGCUGAUCGUAUGGUCUUGCACCGACGAUAGAUCAUUCAAAUGUCUGCCCUAUCAACUAUUGAUGGUAGUAUAGAGGACUACCAUGGUUGCAACGGGNAACGGGGAAUCAGGGUUCGA